AACGAACGCUGGCGGCAUGCUUAACACAUGCAAGUCGAACGAGACCUUCGGGUCUAGUGGCGCACGGGUGCGUAACGCGUGGGAAUCUGCCCUUUGCUACGGACUAACUCAGAGCAAUUUGUGCUAAUACCGUAUAAUGUCGAAAGACCAAAGAUUUAUCGGCAAAGGAUGAGCCCGCGUAAGAUUAGCUUGUUGGUGAGGUAAAGGCUCACCAAGGCGACGAUCUUUAGCUGGUCUGAGAGGAUGAUCAGCCACACUGGGACUGAGACACGGCCCAGGGUCCUACGGGAGGCAGCAGUGGGGAAUAUUGGACAAUGGGCGAAAGCCUGAUUCAGCAAUGCCGCGUGAGUGAUGAAGGCCUUAGGGUUGUAAAGCUCUUUUACCAGGGAUGAUAAUGACAGUACCUGGAGAAUAAGCUCCGGCUAACUCCGUGCCAGCCGCCGCCGUAACAC
rnacentral:rRNA from 1 species